UACGAAGGGGGCUAGCGUUGCUCGGAAUGACUGGGCGUAAAGGGCGCGUAGGCGGUUUGUACAGUCAGAUGUGAAAUUCCUGGGCUCAACCUGGGGGCUGCAUUUGAUACGUGCGGACUUGAGUGAGGAAGAGGGUCGUGGAAUUCCCAGUGUAGAGGUGAAAUUCGUAGAUGUUGGGAAGAGCACCGGUGGCGAAGGCGGCGACCUGGUCCUUGACUGACGCUGAGGCGCGAAAGCGUGGGGAGCAAACAGG
rnacentral:rRNA from 1 species